GAUGAAGAACGUAGCGAAAUGCGAUACUUGGUGUGAAUUGCAGAAUCCCGUGAACCAUCGAGUCUUUGAACGCAAGUUGCGCCCGAAGCCUUUAGGCCAAGGGCACGUCUGCCUGGGCGUCACGCAUCGCGUCGCCCCUAAUCCUCGCUCAUAGAG
rnacentral:rRNA from 1 species